rnacentral:lncRNA from 1 species
ACAGCUAGUACAACUUGGACAGAUGAGAUGGCCCCUGUGGUCUUUUCCAAUAUAAAAAGGAGGAGAAGACAAAGAAGAAAAUGAAAAUGUAGAAGGUGAAGAAGAUGAGGAGAAAGAAAAGAGCCAAGUUCCUGUAGAAGAUGAGUCAACCUUGAACUUGUCAUGAAGUCAAUUGCCUGGUCCUAACUUUCCCCAUCAAAACUCAGCAACCAAAGGAGCAUAAAAUGGACAUGGAAAGAAUCUUUGGGACCAUCUAAC